GGUUGCGUAGUGUAGUGGUUAUCACUUCAGAUUUUGAUAUAACAGCAUUAAGUUCUGAUAACCCCGGUUCGAACCCGGGCGCGACCU
rnacentral:tRNA from 1 species